UACGGGGGGGGCAAGCGUUGUUCGGAAUUACUGGGCGUAAAGGGUGCGUAGGCGGUGCUCUAAGUCGGAUGUGAAAACUCUGGGCUCAACCCAGAGCCUGCAUCCGAAACUGGAGUGCUAGAGUUCUGGAGGGGGUAGCGGAAUUCCUGGUGUAGCGGUGAAAUGCGUAGAUAUCAGGAGGAACACCGGUGGCGAAGGCGGCUACCUGGACAGAAACUGACGCUGAGGCACGAAAGCGUGGGUAGCAAACAGG
rnacentral:rRNA from 1 species